rnacentral:misc_RNA from 1 species
AAGUCGUAACAAGGUUUCCGUAGGUGAACCUGCGGAAGGAUCAUUAACACGUAUCCAACGUUAAAACAACCCUGUGAACCUUCAAUCUUGCUCGCGUAGCCCAUGAAAGCAGCAAUCCCUGGUAAAUCAUUGUUGACCAGAUUUUGAGUCAGGGACCUCUGCCGAUGAGAAGUUACAGUUACGCUCGUAGCGAUGCAGCAAGCGACCUGGCACCCCCAAGCAAUCAGAGUUCUGAAAGCGUCUUUGAUUGUGUAAGGGUGGCGCAAACACGAUCGUUGGAGGCCGACACGGCCGACGACCGGGUCCCUGGGUCACCAUGCCCCUUAAUCACCACACUGUAACGCCGACAGGUCGCGAUAAUUCCGCUGACCACAAAAAACCGAACAACUGUUAACAAUGGAUAUCUUGGUUCUC